rnacentral:rRNA from 1 species
CACCUAACCUACCCGUAAGAAAAUGACAGGAGCAAACGUGGGUGGGCACUUUUAUAGAGGCGAGAACGGAAGAGAGGACACGAGAGAGGAGGGGGCUAGGGGAGGAAGGGAUGGCAGUGCGGCGGCCGAGGUACGUCGCCGGCUGCGCCGGAAGAGAGGGGCCGCGAGCUCCACGUCCAGUGGCCGUAGUGAGCGGCGCACGGCACCAAGACCUAGCCCACGUCUAGAAACGCGAGGGUGGAGAGGAGGAGGAGAGGGAGAGAGAGGGUACGGCGGUAGCAACGUUCCUCGUCCCCUGUAUCCACGGUUCCUGUCCUUCGUUGCCCAACCAGCGCCACCCGAACUCGACGACCCCUCUACCUCCUCCGGCAGCACCAAGCAGUACCUCCGCCGCGGCGGCCGUUCGACCAACUCCAUGCACAGUCUAGACAAUCAGGAAGUACCAACAUCAAGCAAGAGGAGUGUCUGGUACACAAAGAGGAAAGGAGGGAGUUACACGGCCCCUUAUGUAGCAACGAUGGAUAUAAUGACCGAACGUUCGAAAUUCUCCCUCUAAAAUUAUACAACCAGUAAGUGUAGAGACCGGUACACACUACUAAAAAAAAAACAAUUACCGAUUACGAAAUAAAGUCUCUUGGUUUAGACAUGGUACGGCGGAGUGGGAGAGUCCAUUAACAAAGUGGGGAAAACUAUCACAAAAUCCAUACAGGAACAACAAGAAGGGAUUCUCGACGUUAAAAGAUGGGAUAAACAAAUGACGAAUAAUAGCACGAUUAAGGAAACAUAAGGACAAAAAGGCCCACAGCACAAACACACAAACAAAAACACCGCGACGAAUAUGCACACUGAUGGCAUACUAACAUAUAUAUACGACUUUUCAUUUUGUUAAAAAGGAACCGUGUUAUAUAUUAAACGUUACUCUACCAUCAUGUAGUCACAUAAAUGUCCUUUUUUGUUACCAGCAUAUAUACGACUUUUCUUAAUUCGGACUUUUCUUGUAAGUAGAUGAUAAAGAACUACAUACGAUAGCAUAUAAUGUAGGGGGGUUAACUGCUUUUACUUCAAGUCCCCGUACAAAAAAAUAUAUACGAACUGAAUUGACCUCGAAUUUUAAACAGUAAACAAAUUCAUGGUUAGACUAAAUAAGAACUGAGAACUAACGACGAUGACCUUGACUCCCUACAACUGUGCACAUUGUUUUAUCAACUUUCUAAAGUAUGGCUGCUCCGAGAACUCUGAUGUUUGUAAAGAAGUGAGGAAUAUGCUUUCCUAAGACCCUGAUUCAAUAUACUAAAAUAUUAAAUCAGACUAAAAGGAAGACAAUUAUACACGAGGACACGUUAAAAAGUAUCCGAAGAAAAAGAAAAAAGACCAAUGCUAUAAUGUUUCGACUCGUUAUCAAAGAGAUGAUUAUAUCGAACGCACUUUUUGUAGGCAGAAACCCUACGAAAACGCCGCACACAUUGACGGAGUGUAAUCGGAUACGAAGAUAGGCUCAACGAAUGAUGAUUCUGGUAUUAUCUAGUACGAAAAUUUUCCAUCAGUAAGUAAGGUCCUUUCACUUUCGAACCCACAUCGAUGGUUUCAAGGUAACUUCUUUUACUAUUACAUGAAUAUUACGUAAAGUGAACUAACUUUGUCAAAUGAGUAAACAACGUACGGUGCGGUUGUAAAAUAAGGACAUCCAUUUGUAUUCUUUUACUCACCACUACACACAGUGGGGUCAAUCAAAAAGGGGUCUAAAGAAACUAUAUGACUUUACGAAUAUAAGUAAUGAAACACGCUGAAACUUCCUUCCACGCUAGAGGUCGGACUUCCUGACCGACUAACUAAGUCGAUAUCCUUCGUUAGGACAAGGCGCUAACUAACGACCUUAGUAUAAAUACGUUCUCGUUCUGAUGUGUGCUCCGACAGUUCGUGUGUGUAUGGUUUCCUUGAGACCUGUACAAUCAAAAUAAAAAGGCAUACGAAAAUCUACCAAGUUGGAAAGUAAUUAGUUAACUAACAACGUUUAGGGCGGAAGAUUUCUACCACAUAUAUAAAGUCAAAAAAAUCACAGGGUGGGUCAUCGAGGGCGGCUAUAACAGAAAUGUAAUAAUAAGAGACACUUUAUGGUGAAAAUCGAAAGGACCGUGUAGUAGAACGAGACAUUUUUUAACGUGGCCAUUAAAGGUAACGGUAAAUCACCAAGACUUGAACCUCUCUGAUUGAGAUUAUUAUAAACCAUCAUCUACAAAAAUCAAGGAAGACUACUUGUAUGACUAAGUUUUUAAAUUCUAUACAAAACGAAUCAUGUCAUUUCCAACCUUUAGUAAUCUCUCUUCGUUUUUUCUUCCAAAAACGCGUUCUACUUACCUGAGAAUUAAAGAGUACGGCUGACAUACACCGUAACGGUGACGUCCAAUGUGUGAAGUGGGUCAGGUGGAUGGAUGUAAGCAGAUAAAAUAAUUUACAUCUCCUCUUCUUUGAAGCCAACACAGCAAGUUACACAUGGUCCUAUAGUCAUAGGUCUAGUCACCAAAAGUCAAGAAACACGAGAACGAAUAUAAAGUCUCAAAUAUAAAACCCUGAAUCAAUUCAUCUAAUCAAAACGGGUAACAAAAGUAAUUUGUAUAUACAGUCUGCGUACGAUCGGAUUGUGGAAACCGUCGUAGACAGUACGGUUAAAUUACGACGCCUAAUGUGAUGUGUAUAUGUUACAUACGAUUCUAUCGCUAGCCUAUUGUUAUCAUACGUCCGAUAAAAAGGAGGGACGACGUAGUACGAUUACGUUUGGCUCAACCCAAAAAGGAGGGUCCAGGUUCUAUCUUAGGUCCAAGUUACAAAACUAGUAUGUUCCGUUGAUAUACCCAAUAUUACUUUAUCUGUUUUCAUGGUAAAUAGGUGUUCUAACUAGGUAAGUAUACCCCGUCGCAGUCUACGAGAGACGCCUAGUUAGUUACCAUUUAUUUCCGUAUAACAUAAAAGAAAGUUUUUUUAGUAGCUCCUUUGUAUAUCUCGAAAUACAAGCUAAUACAAGUGUGGGGACUUGGGUUUGGGAUUCGGCUUAGUCCGCUCGAGAGCAACGGCCUAACGACCGGUUAGCAGGCCAACCGGAGGUGCAGUCAAGGCGUGGCGACGGUUGCUGGCGGCACGUAACCUAAGCCCACACCGCAACCGACCCUUGGCAUGCCACAAACAGACUGUACGGCAGGCGUGACCCCCAACCAGCCAGCUGAGGUCCAUACUCGUCGAGGACUCGAACUACCGACCUACACACGUGUGUACAUUACCCCGUAGUACCAGUACAACGAACCACACGUCUCUAUUGGAGUAAAACCUGGUUUUUCUCCCCGUUACUGAGACUGUUGUCCGACUUUGUUAGUACAGAACUCGUUAGUUCUGUCGGAACCGAACACCCUGAUUUGUCUCGACUUUUUCAGCCACAGUCGCAACCUGAACGGGAAUCUCGGAUGGGAAUGGAGACAACAUCGGACGAGUUAUAACAGUGACUACAACCUACUAAACAAGAAACCUGCCAGCAAGACUACUCACUAUUGGUCCCGUCAAGAGAAUGUGACACUACCAUCCAAUACCUGGUUCUCUACACCCACAACCGAAACUUCUACUUACUGUAUAAUUGACUAUCUGACGGUAGUUUACUUCAUGCCAUGUUUAACAUGAUGAAGCAAGCUAGGUAUAAUUGACUGGGUGUGAAUCAUGUUAGUUUACUACUUUAGUACAAACUAUUACUACUCUGUAAGUCGUUACUGAUGGAUGAUGGUGACGGAAGUAUAGAACCAGAAAGGUAGACCGUCAUCUAUGUUCUGAGCCGGGAGCCGGAUCGCAAUUUUAUGAUUCGUUCAAUCAAUUCAACUCGUAAUAACUAGCCGGACUAUAUACAAAAAAGACAAGAUUCCGUCUUUUAACCGCAGCCUCUUCAUAUCGUCUAGUAUUUUUGAUAAUCCAGUAAAAUAAAAUUUACGGUAAAAUGACGCUGCGCUUAAAACUCCUGUACGCCGGUGGGCUCUAGCAAUAGAACACGCAGGCGUCGCGCAGCACUAGUCGUCGAUUAUAUCGUAGAGGACGGGUGUGCGUUUAUGGCGUGUCACAAAAGGAAAGAGUGUCGUGUCACAAAAGGAAAAAGUGUUGCCCCUAUGCAGGUGAUAUGCGAGAGCGUACACCCGGUUGUGUGUAAAUAAACGCAUGCUUAUGUCGGAACAGGCAAUCGCUGAGCUGUGUGACCCUGCCGGCAAGCCACCACACCAGUAUUUACGGGACUACAAACCACGUGGUAGUAAAUCGUUCGCCCACUUGGCAGGGAGCUAGAUAUCGUGACAUGUAGAAGAACUUCGGAGCUCGACCACCUCCGCGUUACCCCCUUCUACCGUACCGAAGUCGUCUUUGUCUCUUUAGAUCCAAUCGAACAGUCCUAGGUAUACUUAGGAGAACAAAAGAGUCGUACUAUCACGAUCUGCUAGAGAUUAGCUAGGGGGGACAGAAGGUAUCGUACAUAUGCUAAUACCCCUUUCGUUGCCUAGACACACGAGUUCUCAUAGCACCGGAACACCCCCUGACGAUUAAUGGGGCUAAGACAACAAAAGCCGUAGCUAAGCCUCUCCGACUCGUACGACGCUCUCCAAUGACUCCUGCUGGGGUCACCGUAGCUAAGCCUCUCCGACUCGUCCGGCACAAUUAACCUCGUUAGUUAAGUAGUACCCACACCAAUAAAGCCACGUCCCCCGACCCGCAUAACUACCACGCGUUGUGGGAGAGAAUAACCACGUAACUUCACUUACCGCCGGCUGCUGAUCCGCUACUGAAGUGAGAGAGAUUGUUUCUGGUGGGGGACGAUAGGUUAUAACGCUUCUCGAACUUUCCAUGACAGUGAUCCGUUACUUCACUUCGAGAUAGUCGUGGUACACUUAUUCAACAAACGGUACAAGACGGCGUUUUUUGGUCUAUAGUUUAUGAUACAGACGUGGUAGUUGUUUUGUAAGUGUUUCGGUACGUUUGCCUACAUAAAAGUCCAGUUGAUGUUGCUUUCGUUUGAUUUUCUAAUGUACUGGGUCUAAUACUAUGCGAGUUGCAGUCCGAACGUUUGUCACAAGAUGUGCGGUUAACAGCGUAGUACGAUCCUUGGCUGUUCUCUCGGUGCCAUUGUUGGUUGACCAGAUUCAAGGCGGCAGAACGUUUUUAAGUACUUCCUCUGUAAACACGUAAAGCAAAGUUCCAGUGGUGUUUCGUCACGGACCAAGAGUAGUACGUAACGGAAAUCUACUUGGUAGCUGUCGUUACCUUCAACAUAGAUUCAUAGUAGAUCGUAAGAUUUCUGAUGAUCUGUUCGAGACAUUAUCCUACUUUGGAAGGAGACAAAAAGCUGCUACGAUAAACAAUGAAAACUUGUCGAUGGUGGAUACUAAAAUGGAUAUAUUGGAAACGACAACAAGGAGUAACUAGAUACUUAUACGUCUUACGGUGGG